CCCUCUCUUAAGAAUUUUGGCGGGGCCCACAAUAGGGUUAGGUGGGCUUCGUCUUUGCCAAUAGAAUCCAUAAAUUUUCUUGAGAUUUGUUAAAAAUCCCUUUUCCUCCAUUUUAAGGGAGGUGAAUGAAGGAAAAAAGACUCCCAACUUUUUAGUGUUUUUACAUGUAUUUACUAGCCUUGUUGUUGCUUCUCCAAUAUAGGUGGACUAACUUUUUGAAUUACCCCCUUUAUAAAUUACUAUCAUGUAUAUAUGCCUAACUGCAGUCCAUCCUCAUUUGUCAAAUGCUUUCUUCUUUAAUCACUUGUUCUCUUUCCUUAUCCUCAUUUACCAGUCUUUUUACCUCAAACCACUCCCAUCCUGGGCUUCUGAAAUGAGAUUGGUCUCUCUGGUUUUGGAAAGAUUUAUCACCUUUUCCCAUAGCCAAAACAAUUAGAAAUACUCUGUUAGAUAUUUUUUUCGCAUUUUUUACUCGAAGAAUGUCACCUAAGAAGAACAAGAUUACUUAUUGUAAGGCUGAGAAUCUUGAGAUUACACCAGAUAUGUCUGUGUUAGAUUUGCCUGACCUUAUUUUUUGCAAUUUAUUCCUCUUAUUUAUCAUGUAACAUAUUUCGUCUUUAAGUUAAAUUUUCUUUUCUUUCCUUUUCCUUUUUUUUUUAAAAAAAUUUAGUGUAGCUAAAGAUGUGUUAAGUUUUGUGUUAUAUAGAUUCAUAUUCAACCUGUUUAUUAAUGCCAGAAGCUGUCUUCUUAGUUGAUUUUUUGUAAAGUUAUAACUAAAUUUUCAUAAAGCCUGUUUGAGAGUGAUUUUGAGAAUUGAUUUUUUGAACGUUAAGAGAAAAGUGGGGUCCACUUGUGAGAGAAGAAGUCAAAUAUGACGAUCAGAAUAGUGAAAUAAUGGUCAAAAAAUCAAUUUUUUGGAUCAAAAAAUCAAUUUUUUGGGCUAAAAAAUAACUCCCAAACAAGCUGACAAUUUCUAGUUUACCGUUCCCAUUGAUAUUUCCCCGUUUACAUUCGUUUAUAUGCUAAAGCUUUGUUAACUCCUAAUUCUUGGCGGGGUGCCCCCUCUCUUAAGAAUUUUGGCGGGGCCCACAAUAGGGUUAGGUGGGCUUCGUCUUUGCCAAUAGAAUCCAUAAAUUUUCUUGAGAUUUGUUAAAAAUCCCUUUUCCUCCAUUUUAAGGGAGGUGAAUGAAGGAAAAAAGACUCCCAACUUUUUAGUGUUUUUACAUGUAUUUACUAGCCUUGUUGUUGCUUCUCCAAUAUAGGUGGACUAACUUUUUGAAUUACCCCCUUUAUAAAUUACUAUCAUGUAUAUAUGCCUAACUGCAGUCCAUCCUCAUUUGUCAAAUGCUUUCUUCUUUAAUCACUUGUUCUCUUUCCUUAUCCUCAUUUACCAGUCUUUUUACCUCAAACCACUCCCAUCCUGGGCUUCUGAAAUGAGAUUGGUCUCUCUGGUUUUGGAAAGAUUUAUCACCUUUUCCCAUAGCCAAAACAAUUAGAAAUACUCUGUUAGAUAUUUUUUUCGCAUUUUUUACUCCAAGAAUGUCACCUAAGAAGAACAAGAUUACUUAUUGUAAGGCUGAGAAUCUUGAGAUUACACCAGAUAUGUCUGUGUUAGAUUUGCCUGACCUUAUAUUGGAAUGCAUUCUUGAGAGGCUUCCAACAGAGGGGCUUUGUAGAAUGGCUAGUGUUUGUAGUACUUUGAAAAAUAGGUGCACAAGUGAUCAUCUAUGGGAAAAACAUAUGAAAAACAAAUGGGGUAGGAUUAUUGGCCCUGCUGCAUAUAGGGAAUGGCAGUGGCAUAUUGCCUCAAGAAAAGGUCCAAUCUUCUCUAAUCAAGGCAAACAGAGGGGCCUAAUGGGCUAUCUCACUCUCUUAUGGCCUACUGCACUGAUUAGAUCUAGUUUUGGUAAUAUUCACAAGAAGAAGGAUUUUCCUCCAGUUGAUUCAAUCAUGUCAUGGUGUCUUGCUCUCGAGUCUGGAAACUUUUGGUUCCCUG
rnacentral:lncRNA from 1 species